GGUUAAGCGACUAAGCGUACACGGUGGAUGCCCCCGGCAGUCAGAGGCGAUGAAGGACGUGCUAAUCUGCGAUAAGCGUCGGUAAGGUGAUAUGAACCGUUAUAACCGGCGAUUUCCGAAUGGGGAAACCCAGUGUGAUUCGUCACACUAUCAUUAACUGAAUCCAUAGGUUAAUGAGGCGAACCGGGGGAACUGAAACAUCUAAGUACCCCGAGGAAAAGAAAUCAACCGAGAUUCCCCCAGUAGCGGCGAGCGAACGGGGAGCAGCCCAGAGCCUGAAUCAGUGUGUGUGUUAGUGGAAGCGUCUGGAAAGGCGCGCGAUACAGGGUGACAGCCCCGUACACAAAAAUGCACAUACUGUGAGCUCGAUGAGUAGGGCGGGACACGUGGUAUCCUGUCUGAAUAUGGGGGGACCAUCCUCCAAGGCUAAAUACUCCUGACUGACCGAUAGUGAACCAGUACCGUGAGGGAAAGGCGAAAAGAACCCCGGCGAGGGGAGUGAAAAAGAACCUGAAACCGUGUACGUACAAGCAGUGGGAGCCUCUUUUAUGGGGUGACUGCGUACCUUUUGUAUAAUGGGUCAGCGACUUAUAUUCUGUAGCAAGGUUAACCGAAUAGGGGAGCCGAAGGGAAACCGAGUCUUAACCGGGCGUUAAGUUGCAGGGUAUAGACCCGAAACCCGGUGAUCUAGCCAUGGGCAGGUUGAAGGUUGGGUAACACUAACUGGAGGACCGAACCGACUAAUGUUGAAAAAAUUAGCGGAUGACUUGUGGCUGGGGGUGAAAGGCCAAUCAAACCGGGAGAUAGCUGGUUCUCCCCGAAAGCUAUUUAGGUAGCGCCUCGUGAAUUCAUCUCCGGGGGUAGAGCACUGUUUCGGCAAGGGGGUCAUCCCGACUUACCAACCCGAUGCAAACUGCGAAUACCGGAGAAUGUUAUCACGGGAGACACACGGCGGGUGCUAACGUCCGUCGUGAAGAGGGAAACAACCCAGACCGCCAGCUAAGGUCCCAAAGUCAUGGUUAAGUGGGAAACGAUGUGGGAAGGCCCAGACAGCCAGGAUGUUGGCUUAGAAGCAGCCAUCAUUUAAAGAAAGCGUAAUAGCUCACUGGUCGAGUCGGCCUGCGCGGAAGAUGUAACGGGGCUAAACCAUGCACCGAAGCUGCGGCAGCGACACUGUGUGUUGUUGGGUAGGGGAGCGUUCUGUAAGCCUGUGAAGGUGUACUGUGAGGUAUGCUGGAGGUAUCAGAAGUGCGAAUGCUGACAUAAGUAACGAUAAAGCGGGUGAAAAGCCCGCUCGCCGGAAGACCAAGGGUUCCUGUCCAACGUUAAUCGGGGCAGGGUGAGUCGACCCCUAAGGCGAGGCCGAAAGGCGUAGUCGAUGGGAAACAGGUUAAUAUUCCUGUACUUGGUGUUACUGCGAAGGGGGGGACGGAGAAGGCUAUGUUGGCCGGGCGACGGUUGUCCCGGUUUAAGCGUGUAGGCUGGUUUUCCGGUGCAAAUCCGGAAAAUCAAGGCUGAGGCGUGAUGACGAGGCACUACGGUGCUGAAGCAACAAAUGCCCUGCUUCCAGGAAAAGCCUCUAAGCAUCAGGUAACAUCAAAUCGUACCCCAAACCGACACAGGUGGUCAGGUAGAGAAUACCAAGGCGCUUGAGAGAACUCGGGUGAAGGAACUAGGCAAAAUGGUGCCGUAACUUCGGGAGAAGGCACGCUGAUAUGUAGGUGAAGUCCCUCGCGGAUGGAGCUGAAAUCAGUCGAAGAUACCAGCUGGCUGCAACUGUUUAUUAAAAACACAGCACUGUGCAAACACGAAAGUGGACGUAUACGGUGUGACGCCUGCCCGGUGCCGGAAGGUUAAUUGAUGGGGUCAGCGCAAGCGAAGCUCUUGAUCGAAGCCCCGGUAAACGGCGGCCGUAACUAUAACGGUCCUAAGGUAGCGAAAUUCCUUGUCGGGUAAGUUCCGACCUGCACGAAUGGCGUAAUGAUGGCCAGGCUGUCUCCACCCGAGACUCAGUGAAAUUGAACUCGCUGUGAAGAUGCAGUGUACCCGCGGCAAGACGGAAAGACCCCGUGAACCUUUACUAUAGCUUGACACUGAACAUUGAGCCUUGAUGUGUAGGAUAGGUGGGAGGCUUUGAAGUGUGGACGCCAGUCUGCAUGGAGCCGACCUUGAAAUACCACCCUUUAAUGUUUGAUGUUCUAACGUGGACCCGUGAUCCGGGUUGCGGACAGUGUCUGGUGGGUAGUUUGACUGGGGCGGUCUCCUCCUAAAGAGUAACGGAGGAGCACGAAGGUUGGCUAAUCCUGGUCGGACAUCAGGAGGUUAGUGCAAUGGCAUAAGCCAGCUUGACUGCGAGCGUGACGGCGCGAGCAGGUGCGAAAGCAGGUCAUAGUGAUCCGGUGGUUCUGAAUGGAAGGGCCAUCGCUCAACGGAUAAAAAGGUACUCCGGGGAUAACAGGCUGAUACCGCCCAAGAGUUCAUAUCGACGGCGGUGUUUGGCACCUCGAUGUCGGCUCAUCACAUCCUGGGGCUGAAGUAGGUCCCAAGGGUAUGGCUGUUCGCCAUUUAAAGUGGUACGCGAGCUGGGUUUAGAACGUCGUGAGACAGUUCGGUCCCCUAUCUGCCGUGGGCGCUGGAGAACUGAGGGGGCUGCUCCUAGUACGAGAGGACCGGAGUGGACGCAUCACUGGUGUUCGGGUUGUCAUGCCAAUGGCACUGCCCGGUAGCUAAAUGCGGAAGAGAUAAGUGCUGAAAGCAUCUAAGCACGAAACUUGCCCCGAGAUGAGUUCUCCCUGACCCUUUAAGGGUCCUGAAGGAACGUUGAAGACGACGACGUUGAUAGGCCGGGUGUGUAAGCGCAGCGAUGCGUUGAGCUAACCGGUACUAAUGAACCGUGAGGCUUAACCUU
rnacentral:rRNA from 1 species